AUGGGGGACCAAAGCCCUGGGACUCCUCCCUCCCCCGUUCCAGAGCCGGACCUCCGACCUGCAGGUCUGACCCCUCCUCUUUCCUGGUCCGGGGGCAGCUGGCUUUGGACGAAGGAUCUGUGGGCCAGGUGUCCUUCUGUGCACCACAGACAUCCUAGCGACCUGGCGUCUCCGUCCCAGUCCAAAACGGUUGGUUCAGUUCGCCUGGGGUUCCGAGCCGGACUCGGACCUGAAAGAGCUGUUCUAUUCUUUUACAGGCAGCGAUCAAAACUCCCAGGGGGAACUGUCGCAGUCUAAUAUUUUCAGAAACCAACAUCAUGAAUCGCUGUUGAUCGUGAACUAGAUUUCAAUAAUGACACACAAUUACAUCUUUCAAAUCCAUUUAGAACGGUGUCCAAGAGAAUCAUUUCAAAUUGUUAGAUAAUCCACUAACCAGAUUCCUCAUAAGGGUCUACAGACGUCGAGGAGUGACAAUCAGUUUCUCUUUUAUGGAGUAAAAGAAUCUAUAUUUUUCUAUUGGAACAAAGGGGUUUAAAAUGAGCAGUUAAAAAUUAAACUGGUUCUGUGUGCCUCUUUGCUUUCCUCCUCUACUCUUAAUCCUGAUGUAAUUGUGUUCCCAGCUGAUUUAAUUGUUGGAAAUAAACAAAGGUCAAGUGUUACC
rnacentral:lncRNA from 1 species